GYAACCGWKGCCSUAGAGCMCAAAACAACCCCGCCGUUCARGGAUUCUCCGUWAAUGYCSRCCCCCGCCCYUUUGUUACCGUCCUUYYYGGGRRRRRARRGAUGRAUSRAUYACACACGCCAAUAAUGGUMWMCUGUAAAUGUUAUCCCCCGGCCUCGGGUCCGCCCGGGGACGCGGGGGGGUUGUUUCAACACAACCGCCAAAGCGUUUAACACGAUAUAAAAGUCGGGGUUUUUCCGUCGACCUAGUCGCGGGCCUCGCAAAUAACCAAGAAAUAACCCCUAACAACGGAUGUCUUGGCUCUCGCAACGAUGAAGAACGCAGCGAAAUGCGAUAUGUAGUGUGAAUUGCAGAAUUACGUGAAUCAUCGAAUUUUUGAACGCAUAUGGCACCCGAGACCUCGGUCGAGGGUAUGUCUGCCUCAGAGUCGACGUAAAACAUCCCCUCGGGUUUUCGAAGCGUUAACGCGCUUAGAGGGCCCUGAGGGGGAGCUGGUCCUCCCACGGGAUCCACCUGCGGGUGGGUCGUAGACGUGGGUUGGCCGAAGGAUAGAAACGAGGGACCGGUGGGACAACUACCACUGGACAAUCACGAUUUGGUGGGAGGAUGGGAGCUCGCUCCCUUAUCCGCAUCAUCGUCGUGCGUCCUUUUGGGAGAACUGCCGUGCGCCUCGCCUUUACAGGAAAAAAUUAAAUAUCAUGUUCGACCUGAGUUCAGGCAAGAUCACCCGCUGAACUUAAGCAUAUCAAUAAGCGGARGAAAGAAACUARCUAGAAAUUCCCU
rnacentral:rRNA from 1 species